rnacentral:rRNA from 1 species
UACGUAGGGAGCGAGCGUUAUCCGGAUUUAUUGGGUGUAAAGGGUGCGUAGGCGGCUUCUUAAGUCUGUAGUCUAAGCCCGGAGCUUAACUCCGGUUCGCUACAGAAACUGAUUAGCUUGAGUAUGGUAGAGGCAAGUGGAAUUUCUAGUGUAGCGGUUAAAUGCGUAGAUAUUAGAAGGAACACCAGUGGCGAAGGCGACUUGCUGGGCCAUUACUGACGCUGAGGCACGAAAGCGUGGGGAGCAAAUAGG